rnacentral:rRNA from 1 species
UAGUUUAACAGCUCCAUGGCGUGUGGGGAAACUGAGCAAACCCGGCCGGACAAAUAAAGGACAAGCGACAGGGGGAAGGAGGGAGCUGGCGAAGUAAGCAACAGAUGUCUCUUCGAAAGGGAAAGAGGAAGCACGGACCUAGGGGAAAAGGAGGCAGCAAGCUGGCGAAAAUAGUGGACGAAGAAGGAGGCCCUAGGAUGAGGCCGUUCUCUUGCGGCUAGAGCAGCGGCCACAGAGGUCGCCGCCGCAGACGCAGCAGAUCCCAAGGCUGUUCCAGCCGCAGCAGAUCCCAAGACUGUUUCAGCCGCAUCAGAUCCGGGGGCAGUUCGAAGCAGUUCGAGCCGCAGCUGUUCCACGCUACCCGCCUCCGUCGCUGCCCCUCACCUCGAGCAAACCUAACAUUCGGUCUUCAACAGGAGCCGUAGGGCUCGAACUAAAGGCGGAACCUUCGGGUAGGACGUGUCCCCCAUCCCCGCACCUGCACUCCGAGGUCCCACGAUGAUGGUGCAUACCGGCCGGGGCAUCAGGGCACCUAUUCGUCGCUCGCCUAAAAAAAUGUAGUACUUGGACAUGAUGUCACCGCUACGUAAAGACGGAUGUUAAUAACGGCACUAGAUGUUGAAGUUCGGAAACAAACGACGAUGUAUGCCUUUAUGAUGAAAAUCGUAUCCUUUAAAACUCAGCUCUAAAGAUGGUCGAGACUUUCAGUUAAAGUCCAUACUGAGUUCUCAAAAGGAAGAAGUAUAGAAUCGUUGAUGUCUCCAGAACCUUACCUCCCAAAGAGAUUACUACUAGAUGUUCCAGAUGUACUCUUUAACGAAAAGCUCUAACAGUGAACGUUCCUGUUACUUUAAGUCGACGGUAAACAUUGAAGAAAGGACGUCUCUGUACCAGGUUUACGUUGUCUUAAAAGGUUGAGUUUCCUUAUCAUGGCACUCCCUUGAGAAGAUAAAGAAAUAAUCGACAUUUCUUCCGAGGGGUUACUUCGACAAGGUAACCAAAGGGUCACUAUGAAACACAGUAAUGAAAGUCAACAUUUCUUCCAAAUUUAGACGUCUUAUUCAAACAUUUCUUCGAGUUUGUACGAAGAUAUGAGUAUGAAAGAACCUAAAAGUUACCAAAAUUGAUCGUCAACUUUGUUGUUUUUAGGAGAAAACAUACAAGGAACAGAAACACAUACCAGAACAACCUUUAGAAGAAGUGUUGUCAAGUUGUUUGUCAACUUUGUGUGUCUUUGUUGUCUAAUGAAAAGGUCUAACAUUGAAAGUUCCUAUUACUUUAAGUCGAAGGCAAACAUUGAAGAAAGGACAUCUCUGUACAAUCAAGAGGUAAGGAAAAUAAGGUUCCUAUUAACUCUUAAAACAUGGAGGAAAAUAGUACAAGAUACAUGACUAUUCAUGUAAAAAGUCAAUCAGAUUAGUGUACACACAAAGUUUUCCCAAAGGCU